rnacentral:lncRNA from 1 species
AGUGAUGACACAGUCUCCAGCUUCCCUGUCUUUGUCUCUGGAGAAAAAAGCCACCCUGACUUGCAGGGCCAGUCAGUGUUAGCAGCUACUAAGCCUGGUACCAGAAGAAACCUGAGCGGGUUCCCAGGCUCCUCAUCUAUGGUACAGCCCUGAUUUGUGAUAGUGGGUCGGGGACAGGGCUUACUCUCACCAUCGGCAGCCUGGAGCCUGGAGCCUGGAGAUUUGCACUUCAUCACUGUUAUCAGCAUAGUAG